CGGAAGUAGCUCAGGGGUAGAGCACAACCUUGCCAAGGUUGGGGUCGCGGGUUCGAAUCCCGUCUUCCG
rnacentral:tRNA from 3 species